rnacentral:sRNA from 1 species
AGGUUGUCGGACUUCCUCAGUCGGUUACAUCUUUAGGGACCAGUGACUGUAUAUAUGUCAAAUAAUUAUUGAAGUUCGCAGCAGGCCUCCUGGAGGAAGCAAUCGUGAUCUGAGGACAAGGAAAACAGAAGUUUUGUCGCAAAUACGCUCAAUAGUCCAAACGUUAGAACUAAACUGUUGAAAAACUUUGCCAUAUCCACUCAUCUUGCCUCCUGGCCAGCAGUGAUUCAGUAAACAUUCACUGGCCAUCGUGCCAAAGCACAGGUGUAUAAUACUAUUCCUUCCUCAAUGCUCUCUACUGAGGGAAGGCUGCCUGCACCCAACCACAGGCCACCUGAUGCCGUGUGAUUGUACUUGUAUGAAAAGAAGGAACUAGAAAAAAAGAAAGAGAGGAUGAAACAAAGAUUACUCUUCAGACUACACAUUGAUGAAUCCGCAUUAGGACGAGGUCCAGAUGCUUAAAGCCGUUUGGUUGUCUUGGUCUGAGGGAGAGAAGGAAAACAAGAAAGGAAACAAAUCACAUUCUUUAUAAACAUCAGUGUUGAAUGUGGCAUGUGCUAAUGUGCUAUAUAUAUCUGAUGUUGAUAUGCCCUGUACAUGUUCCUGGAACAGGUUGGCGCUUUUGCUCAGGAAACAGGAACGUCUGCCU